GACGUAGGGAGCGAGCGUUGUCCGGAUUCAUUGGGCGUAAAGCGCGCGUAGGCGGCCUCGCAAGUCGGUUGUGAAAUCCCGGGGCUCAACCCCGGGACUGCGUCCGAUACUGCGAGGCUGGAGGUAGGUAGGGGAGAUCGGAAUUCCUGGUGUAGCGGUGAAAUGCGCAGAUAUCAGGAGGAACACCGGUGGCGAAGGCGGAUCUCUGGGCCUUACCUGACGCUGAGGCGCGAAAGCGUGGGGAGCAAACAGG
rnacentral:rRNA from 1 species